GACGAACGCUGUUUGCGUGCUUAACACAUGCAAGUCGAACGGAAAGGCCCUGCUUUUGUGGGGUGCUCGAGUGGCGAACGGGUGAGUAACACGUGAGUAACCUGCCCUUGACUUUGGGAUAACUUCAGGAAACUGGGGCUAAUACCGGAUAGGAGCUCCUGCUGCAUGGUGGGGGUUGGAAAGUUUCGGCGGUUGGGGAUGGACUCGCGGCUUAUCAGCUUGUUGGUGGGGUAGUGGCUUACCAAGGCUUUGACGGGUAGCCGGCCUGAGAGGGUGACCGGCCACAUUGGGACUGAGAUACGGCCCAGACUCCUACGGGAGGCAGCAGUGGGGAAUAUUGCACAAUGGGCGGAAGCCUGAUGCAGCAACGCCGCGUGCGGGAUGACGGCCUUCGGGUUGUAAACCGCUUUCGCCUGUGACGAAGCGUGAGUGACGGUAAUGGGUAAAGAAGCACCGGCUAACUACGUGCCAGCAGCCGCGGUGAUACGUAGGGUGCGAGCGUUGUCCGGAUUUAUUGGGCGUAAAGGGCUCGUAGGUGGUUGAUCGCGUCGGAAGUGUAAUCUUGGGGCUUAACCCUGAGCGUGCUUUCGAUACGGGUUGACUUGAGGAAGGUAGGGGAGAAUGGAAUUCCUGGUGGAGCGGUGGAAUGCGCAGAUAUCAGGAGGAACACCAGUGGCGAAGGCGGUUCUCUGGGCCUUUCCUGACGCUGAGGAGCGAAAGCGUGGGGAGCGAACAGGCUUAGAUACCCUGGUAGUCCACGCUGUAAACGGUGGGUACUAGGUGUGGGGUCCAUUCCACGGGUUCCGUGCCGUAGCUAACGCUUUAAGUACCCCGCCUGGGGAGUACGGCCGCAAGGCUAAAACUCAAAGGAAUUGACGGGGCCCCGCAUAAGCGGCGGAGCAUGCGGAUUAAUUCGAUGCAACGCGUAGAACCUUACCUGGGUUUGACAUGGAUCGGGAGUGCUCAGAGAUGGGUGUGCCUCUUUUGGGGUCGGUUCACAGGUGGUGCAUGGCUGUCGUCAGCUCGUGUCGUGAGAUGUUGGGUUAAGUCCCGCAACGAGCGCAACCCUUGUUCACUGUUGCCAGCACGUUAUGGUGGGGACUCAGUGGAGACCGCCGGGGUCAACUCGGAGGAAGGUGGGGAUGACGUCAAGUCAUCAUGCCCCUUAUGUCCAGGGCUUCACGCAUGCUACAAUGGCUGGUACAGAGAGUGGCGAGCCUGUGAGGGUGAGCGAAUCUCGGAAAGCCGGUCUCAGUUCGGAUUGGGGUCUGCAACUCGACCUCAUGAAGUCGGAGUCGCUAGUAAUCGCAGAUCAGCAACGCUGCGGUGAAUACGUUCCCGGG
rnacentral:rRNA from 1 species